AGGCAUGCUGUAGCACCCUGACCGCAGAAUUUGGCUGUGGGCCUGUUCACCAAAUACACCAUUCAAUAACAGCAGCUCUCAAUCAUAUCUAAUUCCACUGGCAUUAAUAAGUAACGAUCUGACACCAUCAAUGAGUUCUCACUUUGUCGACCCUUCACAUAACACACUGGACGAAGUAUCCUGCGGAUCAACAUUUCCACAAAAUGCUGAACGAUGCUAUGGGUGCUACAAGAGUUGCAUUUCUAAAGAGAGCAAGCAAUACAGCACUGGACGACUGAUUUGAAAGAAGCUUCAUAAUAUUCACCAGCAGCGCAGGAGGCAAAACAUGGAUUACAGGGCUUUGUUUGGUAAGUUUAUAUUUUAUUAAAUUGAACAUGCUGGACAAUAUGUGCCAUCGUCAUAGCAUAGUCAGAAAUUAACAGCAGGUUUUUGGUUUGCGAUAAUAAUUUCAGAUUGUUGACAGCAGCAUAGGCAGGCUGAUAAAAAUAAAAAUAAAAAACUCAGAGUAUUCCCUGUUUUUGCAUUUAAAAAAGAAAUCAGAUAGUAAAUGUUGUUUUUGCAUUUAAAAAAGAAAUCAGAUAGUAAAUGUUUAAAGCUUCCUUUUUGAUUCUACUUAAAGCUAUGCUCCUUUAAAACGGCUUGUUAUAUCUUAGGGUAAUGUUUUUAAUUUUUUUUUUAAUGUUGGCCUAACUUUACUAGAUCUUAAUUUUAAUUAUUUGACAGAAAUGCUUGAUUUGACUCACAGCCUUGAAUAUUAACUAUACGAACCUUUAUGAAAGCAUCAUCAAUUCAAAAUAACUGAUUUUAGUAUUAUUAUUAACAGUAGUUGUUGUGCUAUUUUUUUCCUCGUUCGGAGAAUCAAGAAGCAAAUCUUCAAAAAUUAAAAACAAUUAUGUAACAGUUAUGUAAACUUCCAAAUGAUGACUGUUCAUCAGUUAAUUGUAUGACCGAUUCAAACAUUUCUUGUAAUUUUUUUAUUUUAAUGUUGACACUUCUCACU
rnacentral:lncRNA from 1 species